UCGUGGCGGCGAGGUGGUCGCCGGUGUCCGCGAGGCCACGGGAGGAAAGUCCGAGCUCCAAAGGGCGUGGUGCUGGCUAACGGCCAGUCGGGGAAACUCGAAGGAAAGUGCCACAGAAAGUAAACCGCCGAGGCCCGCCUCGGUAAGGGUGAAAGGGUGCGGUAAGAGCGCACCGGGGGGCGGGUGACCGUCCCCGUCAUGGUAAACCCCACCUGGAGCAAGACCGUUUCGGGGCGCCGAUCUUGAAUCGGCCCGGGCGACCCGUCCGGUAGCCCCGGGUCAGGUCGCUGAAGUGCCGGGGCAACUCGUCGCAUAGAUGAAUGACCACCCCCGCCGUCGGGUGACCGGCUGCGGAGACAGAACUCGGCUUACGGCCGUCUCGAACAG
rnacentral:RNase_P_RNA from 1 species